rnacentral:rRNA from 1 species
GAUGAACGCUAGCGAUAGGCUUAACACAUGCAAGUCGAGGGGCAGCAUGAACAAAGCUUGCUUUGUUUGAUGGCGACCGGCGCACGGGUGCGUAACACGUAUGCAACUUACCCAUAAAGCGAGGAUAACCCGGAGAAAUUCGGACUAAUACUCGAUGGUAUUAUUGGGAGGCAUCUUCUAAUAAUUAAAGAUUUAUCGAUUAUGGAUAGGCAUGCGCAUGAUUAGCUAGUUGGUGAGGUAACGGCUCACCAAGGCGACGAUCAUUAGGGGUUCUGAGAGGAAGGUCCCCCACACUGGUACUGAGACACGGACCAGACUCAUACGGGAGGAAGCAGUGAGGAAUAUUGGUCAAUGGACGAGAGUCUGAACCAGCCAAGUCGCGUGAAGGAAGACUGCCCUAAGGGUUGUAAACUUCUUUUGUGUGGGAAUAAAAAGAGGGACGUGUCCCUCAUUGUAUGUACCAUACGAAUAAGGAUCGGCUAACUCCGUGCCAGCCGCCGCGGUAAAAC